GGAUGCAUCUAAAAGACUUCCCAUAGCUUCAUGCAAACCAUGCUUUUGAGCCAAAGGAGUGGCUACAGCCUUUGCCAAAACAUCUCUGUCUUGGCCAGCAACUCAGUAGCAUACUUGCAUUGAUUUAAGUGAAUUCCUUCUUCAAAAUAUAUACUUCACCUCAACUCCUAGAAAGAAGUGUAAAGAGCCAAGAUCUUUCAUAGCAGACUCCUUCCCAAGUUGUAGAAACAACUCUG
rnacentral:lncRNA from 1 species